CUUACGUCAUUCGACGCGACACUUUCCACGGUCGGAGCUGAUCCGGAUCACAUACACAGGAGUCACUCAUUGAAGAUGAAUCACAGCUGGACAGGGAUCUUCGAAUAAUUGAGAGACACCAUGGUGUAAAACGAAGGUGGCUCCCUUCGGAUGACAUUUUCCAGAGAACACUGAGAGAUGUUGACCAGGAACUUAGAGGUCAGCUGAUACGACGAGCACAAAAUGAAGCAAGGGAGAGGGCCACUCUUCUCAACCUGAAAAGAAGAUGUAAUGGUAACACUACUUCUUCUCUUGACUGUAUGGUCAUUAGCAAAAUUGAAGCUCAAAGGUCUUGUGGUAAACCUAAAUUUAAUCUUUAUGUUAUCCCUGCACCAUGCAUAUGUUCACUCUAGGUACUUAAGCGUCUUUAUGCAG